CCUACGGGAGGCAGCAGUGGGGAAUAUUGCACAAUGGGGGAAACCCUGAUGCAGCGACGCCGCGUGAGUGAAGAAGUAAUUCGUUAUGUAAAGCUCUAUCAGCAGGGAAGAAAAUGACGGUACCUGAGUAAGAAGCCCCGGCUAACUACGUGCCAGCAGCCGCGGUAAAACGGAGGGGGCAAGCGUUAUCCGGAUUUACUGGGUGUAAAGGGAGCGUAGUCGGCAGGGCAAGUCUGGAGUGAAAGGCGGGGGCUCAACCCCCGGACUGCUCUGGAAACUGUACGGCUGGAGUGCAGGAGAGGUAAGUGGAAUUCGUGGUGUAGCGGUGAAAUGCGUGGAUAUUAGGAGGAACACC
rnacentral:rRNA from 1 species